rnacentral:rRNA from 1 species
GGGUCAGUAGGUUGGUCGUGCCACCGGUACGUACUGGUCUCACUGAUUCCUCCUUCCUGAAGAACCGUAAUGCCAUUAAUUCGGUGUUGCGGGGAAACAGGACUGUUACUUUGAAAAAUUUAGAGUGUUUAAAGCAAGCUAACGCUUGAAUACAUUAGCAUGGAAUAAUGAAAUAGGACGAUCGAUCCUAUUUUGUUGGUUUCUAGGAUUGACGUA